GUUUUUAUGAUUUCUAGUUAACUACGGAUACAGGAGAUCUCUGGGGAUGGGCACACCUAAGUAGGCUGUCCUCAGGGAACCCUUGUGGAAUGACCAUUUUCAACAUGCAGUGCUCUCCUGGUAUGGACAUGCUUCCCCAGCAUCUCUUUAGAAAUCAAGAAGCAGGAAAGUCUCACAACAGCUAGCACUGUUCCUUUGGUCCUGGCACACUUGAGAACCACAGUCGCUCAAACCAUCCUGCCCACGAGUCUCGGGUUAACUUCAUGUGCUGGACAGGAAAAAGACACCACACCAGAAAGCAGGACGGUGUUUGCAUGGAGAUAGCAGGGCUGAAGUCAGACCAGGGCAGGGAGCAGAACAGUUCCCUCCAUCCCCUUGCCAGUGUUUGACCUUGUGCACCUCAGUCCCUAAAACCCUGACACUUUCUGCCCUGCUCACCAUGGUACGUUUGAAUACCAUAUUUAUUUAUUAUUUCAGUGUUUGCCAGUAAGUAACCAACAGAUGCUGAGAAGGAAUAUACCACGGUAAAGCAAAAGCUUAGAGAUAACUUGGUGCUGUCACUAUCUUUGGCUGUCCUCCAGCCACAGGGCAUUCCCUAGCUUCUCCCUGGGGAAUGAGAAUUGUUGGCAGGCUAGGAACCACACGUAGACGUGCAUUCUCUGAAUGGGUGUUGUGCAAACAUCUUGCAUAUCCAACUUGUUGGAAGAAACAGGGGUGAGCUCCAAUAGCUCCUUCUUUCAUUGGCAGUCUCCCUCUCCUGUGCAUCCUCUUCAGACAGCAACAAGAGAGAAACUCAAGCGGGUGCUGUGUAAUCCAACCUGAGCCUGAGAGCAGCCAGUGCUCUCCUGGGAAGCUGCUUGCUCGUUACAGAAGAGCUAUUUAUAUCUCAGAGCUGUGUACGUGUUUCAUUGCAGGGGAUACAAAAGAAUAUAUUUGAGGUGUGCUUAUGUGGAGUUGUUCCCUUUUCUGUAAAUUUCUCCAUUUGAUUUCUCUAUGGGAUUUGGGGAAGGUGGAAACAGGAUUAUGAGGACACAGAAAGAGAAGUCCCUCUUGAGGAAGAAUCUCAUGACUCUAUGGCACUGUUUAUACUACGUGUACAUGGCAGAGUACUCUGUAGGCUUUGAAUGAACCCCCUGUUUCAGCAGAAAGUGCAAGACACAUGGGCAGCAAGGCAGCUGGCAGUGUCAUAAGUGCUGUGAGCACUUGCUCUUUCAAAACAUAGGGGCGAGUUUGAGUCUCUCUGCUGAGCAGUGUAACUUGGUUAAAGAUAGGGGUCUAGGUCUAUCCAAUAACUUAGUGUUGCCUUUUUCUGUGGUUGUUUUAAUGACAACUGAACAUAUCCAAGAAAUAAAACUGAAGUUUUCAUAUGGAUGGUUAUCUCCAUCAGCCCAGGUGACAGAUAUCAGUACUUCAGUGUGCUGAGCACCAGAGUGCUUCUGAAUCAGAGACCUUCGAUGGUUCAUAAUAGAUGAAUUCUCUGAUUUACUUUACUUCUCCUUUCCUUAAGAAAUGAAUUGAUACUGCACGUACAUAACACUUUCUCCUUUUUGUAAUAUAUUACUCAACACGGAAUAAUUAGGAAUGCAAAGGUUGCACUGAACAGCAGCAGCAGCAGCACGCUUGCCUCCCACUGAAUCAUUUUUGUCUCUUUUUAAAAGAUACAUUUCCUGAUUACUGAAUUAUUUCAAAUAUAAUAUUUAACCUUCACCUUCUUUAAUUUGUGUGCACAUUAAGCAAGCUUGAUAAUUGAGGACUGUUGCUACAUUUUGGAAA